rnacentral:lncRNA from 1 species
GCCACUGUAUAUUACAAUUAAUAUCAUGGGCUAAUCUAAUCACUGCUGUUUCAACCAUUCUGACCUGUGCCGCAGUACAUGCUUGCUGGCAGUCCACUAGUUCUUACACAGUUAAAUUAUACAGGAUGGUUUGCCACUGUAUAUUACAAUUAAUUUCAUCAAAUCAAGGGGGGGAAUUGAAAAAAGGAACAAAAGAGAGUUUACGUGAAUAAACAAAACCAGAAAGGCUAGAUCUUGAAAAAUAACAUUCGGUGAAGAGCUCGAGAUCAGGAAGCUUAUGUGGCUGCAAAAGAUAAGCCUAAAGAGAGAGGCAGUACAAUCAUUUUGGUGGCAUGACGAUCAACUUCAAU